rnacentral:rRNA from 1 species
AGCGGCGGACGGGUGAGUAACGCGUGGGAAUAUGCCCUUCUCUAAGGAAUAGCCUCGGGAAACUGAGAGUAAUACCUUAUACGCCCUUCGGGGGAAAGAUUUAUCGGAGAAGGAUUAGCCCGCGUUAGAUUAGGUAGUUGGUGGGGUAAUGGCCUACCAAGCCUACGAUCUAUAGCUGGUUUGAGAGGAUGAUCAGCCACACUGGGACUGAGACACGGCCCAGACUCCUACGGGAGGCAGCAGUAGGGAAUCUUAGACAAUGGGGGAAACCCUGAUCUAGCCAUGCCGCGUGUGUGAUGAAGGCCUUAGGGUCGUAAAGCACUUUCGCCAGAGAUGAUAAUGACAGUAUCUGGUAAAGAAACCCCGGCUAACUCCGUGCCAGCAGCCGCGGUAAUACGGAGGGGGUUAGCGUUGUUCGGAAUUACUGGGCGUAAAGCGCACGUAGGCGGAUUAGUAAGUUAGAGGUGAAAUCCCAGGGCUCAACCCUGGAACUGCCUUUAAUACUGCUAGUCUUGAGUUCGAGAGAGGUAAGUGGAAUUCCGAGUGUAGAGGUGAAAUUCGUAGAUAUUCGGAGGAACACCAGUGGCGAAGCGGCUUACUGGCUCGAUACUGACGCUGAGUGCGAAAGUGUGGGGAGCAAACAGGAUUAGAUACCCUGCUAGUCACACGA